rnacentral:lncRNA from 1 species
AGGAUGUUCAGUUUCUUUUCCAAUGCAAAAGUUCAGUAAACUGUGGAUUCAUCAAUAUUUGUUAGGUACUAUUUUUUUGUGGAUUUCGUGGGUACUGCGGAACCACGAAUUUAAAUGUUCAACGAAUAACAAAUUUUCUAAAGGAAUGUAUGCAAACUUUGCCAAAACCACGAAUAUGGUGGUUUUCCUCAAUCCACGAAAAUUG